AAACACCGCACCUUCUUUCACUUCAUCCAUAUUUACCUCCUUAGAAGAGAAGGAAACAUCUUAUUCGCCGUCACAGACGGCCCCUCGUCAUUUCGUCUCAAAAUUCCCCCCGCCCUUCUUCUCUACGUGCGCGCUGCAAGGGAAAUAGAUUUAAAUUUGCGUUACCUGUGAAUUCCUCACAGGUAAAAGUAAUACACAGGAAAUUCUUAAUGUUAGAAUCAUUAAACGAGACCGAUGUAUGUUGAAGAUUUGCAAAGAUUAAUAAUUAAUGAUGAGUAUAAUAAGACGUUUUGGAAGUUUUAUGGACGUACUAAUAUUAUACUUACACUCGAAAGGAACAAAAAUUGGCAUGUACGUAUGUAACCAUAAACUCCGGAUAAUGAAAUGUAUUAUUACCUCAUUUAGGUUCAUGCAAAUACAUACCUUUGUAUAAAUUGGUUCUUUUGACUUCAAUAAUAAAAUUAAAUCCUCUUUAA
rnacentral:lncRNA from 1 species